GCCUAUGUAGCUCGGUCGGUAAAGCACCUGACUUGGGCUCAGGUCAUGAUAUCUUGGUUUGGUUCAUGAGUUUGAGUCCCACUUUGGGCU
rnacentral:tRNA from 1 species